rnacentral:sRNA from 1 species
GCUGGGUGGGGUGGUGUACGCCUGUAAUCCCAGCAGCUAGGGAGGCUGAGACAGGAGGAUCAUGAGUUCAAUGCCAGGCUCAGCAAAAAGUGAGAUGCUGAGCAGCUCAGUGAUACCCUGUCUUUA